GCUAUGUUGCCCAGGCGGGUUUCGAACUCCUGGCCUCAAGCAAUGUUCUCGCCUAGGCCUCCCAAAGUGCUGGGAUUACAGGCGUGAGCCACCACGCCCGGCUAGCAUGCUGUUUGAGAGGCUUCUCCUUGUUGCCUGUGUCUGUAGUUUGCCCCUUUUUACUGCUGAGUAGUAUCCAUUGUAUGAGCAUAGAACAAUUUGUUUAUCCGUUGGCUGUUCAUGAACCUCUGGCUUGUUUCCAACAUCUGGCUAUUUUUUUUUUCUUUUUUCUUUUGAGACAGAGUCUCACUCUGUUGCCCAGGCUGGAGUGCAGUGGCAUGAUCUCAGCUCACUGCAAACUCCGCCUUCAGGGUUCAAAUGG
rnacentral:lncRNA from 10 species